rnacentral:ncRNA from 1 species
GAAACUCGACCUCAUGAAGUUGGAAUCGCUAGUAAUCGCGGGUCAGCUAUACCGCGGUGAAUACGUUCUCAAGUCUUGUACUCACCGCCCGUCAAGUCAAGGAAGUUGGGAGUACCCAAAGGCUCAUGUAAGUGGGACUAAGGUAAACUCAAUGACAAGGACUAAGUCGUAACAAGGCACGGCUAGCGGAAGCUGGUCGUGGAAUAUUUCAAGG